AUGGCCACGUCUGGACGCUUUGUUCAGAAUAACAUCUUAUGACAGUCGCUGGGUUGUUUUAAGCAUACUGGCAUUGUCAUUCAUGCAAAAGACGCGUGUCAGUGUAAAUGGCUGUACAUCAGUAGCACAGGGAUUUGUUUUGCGUGUUAUGAACGGGAUCAUAUCAAGAAAAUAAUGCCGUGGCCUACUUCGCUCACGAUGUCUUUAUCUGCACACACAGUCUAGAUAAGUUUAUGCAUGAGAUUUUAGUUCAUUUAAAAGAGCAUAUGUUACGACAUCGGUAUGGUUUACUGCAGUCCGUCAUUCAUUUACACGCAAUAACGCACGGAAAUCUCCAUGCAUGCGAAUUCAUAUUUGCGGGUAAAGUGAACAUGACCUUGUUUACAUGCAACAUUUGGGCAUUGGCAUGCCAGACGAGACACGACUUGCCACAUACACAUAGUCACAAACUAACUUGAGUAAGACAGUCUCGUGAACUUGGAAAUUAUUUUUGUUAUUUGUUGGAUGUAUUUCAAGUCCGUGUUAGGCUAUAGGAAAUUCAAUUCAUGUCAUUUUAGUAAUAUAACCAUGUAAACAUUAUUUUCUAGCUCCAAAGAAAAUAAAAGGUGGGAUUUUAUUUUAUUUAUUUAUUAUUAUUAUUAUCAUUAUUGUUAUUAUAAAAAAAAACAUUUAUUGAAUUCCGGGAUUUGACCGUUUUCAUGAUUUAAAAUUCUUGAACAUUUUUGGUUAUUGAACAUGCGUGUGUGGACUGUGCAAAAAAAAAAAAAAAAAAAGUUUAUAUAUAUAUAUAUAUAUAUAUUCUGACCUAUUAUUAAACGUUACUAUAACACCACAUUAACUAAACAUACAGCACAUCUGUCUGAUUCCGGAACGAAGAACGUUUUCUGAGCCAGUUCUUUUUAUAAUGUUUUUAUAUUCAAUAAUGUUAGUUUAAAGUUAACUAAAACAAAGAUAAUUGGAAUAUUGUUUACAUUUCAAACUUUUAUUAAAACUUAACAUUUAAUUCAAUGUAAUACUUUAUUGUUUCCAAUUGUUCGUAUUUUACAGUAUAUGGGUCUCUAUAUACACAUUUUCUGGUAACAUUUUUGAAUAAAGACUUCACAAAAGUGAAAUGAGAGUGUCAUUCCAGUGUUUUCGAUUUUAUUUUUAAUUUAAUCUUGUUUAUGAACCGUUCUAUCCCUAAAGAAGAGUCAGUGAUCUUGAUCAGUGUCCUGUACAUGUAUUUUUUUAUAUGUAAAAAUUUUUUGCAUCAUCUUAUCACCAUGUCCUCCUCCAACCCGUUCUCAUCAGUCUGCGUAUAAAUAACACGACUUUACAUUUUCUAUUUGCGUGUAAUGCAUACGCCAAAUGCCAUUUUUGCGUGCAUAUGAUACGCCAAUCCUUCCCAUUAAUUUCGGUGGAGAGCAGAUGCGUCCAAAUAACACGCAUCAUCUUCAGCGGCAGUGACGUCACUAGCGUGGCUCGUUCAGUUCACCUGAUGCGCGUACACCUUCAAACAGGUAAGCAAGGGUAAAUAUAUUUUUUUAUUCUUCUUUUUGUAAUGAUAUCACGUGGUUAAGCGUAUUGUUUUAAUUAUUUCAGUAUUUCUGCAUCACGUUAGACAGGGCCGUGUUUUUAAAGGGCAGUUUAUGCUCAAAUUAUGGGUCAGUGGGCUGCUCAGCUAGCCUACCAUUGUCAUUAGCCUAAGCUAACCUGUACUGUUUAUAGACCUGUUGCAGUUUUAAAUAAAUUUAUGAUGUGACAUAUGGAUCUUCAGCUUUUAGACAUGACUAAUACAAGCACAACAAAGCACCCAACCCAAUAUCGCGUGAUAAUCGUGAUCGUGUAAAAAGUCCACACAUUUAGCAUAUUUUUACAAUACUAGCCUAACUUUUGCUUGACCACGUCAUGUGUAGCCAAUACACACACAGUAACUACAGCAUAUUUACCAUGCUUCUCCUACUGUAACCGUAGUUUUACUCUGGACUUUGUAACGCACAUAACCAGGACAUUUACUAUGGGUUUACCAUAGUAACCAUAGUUUUACUCUGGUAUUUGUAGUUACUAACACACAAUAACCACGACAUUUACUAUGGGUUUACCAUAGUAACCAUAGUUUUACUCUGGUAUUUGUAUUUACUAACACACAAUAACCACAACACUUACCAGGAUUUUACCACAGUAACUGUUUUUACUCUACACUAUUUGUAAAGCACAGUAACCACUAAGUUUGCCAUGCCUUUAAUAUCUUUUUGUGAUGUAAUUGUAAUUCAGUGUUUUUUCUGUCUUGCAGUUACGUCGGAUUACAUACUCCACAAUAACCUGUAAUCCAGCAGAUCUUUAAAGAAGCCAUCUCUUGUCAAAUCUCUCUCUCUCUCUCUCUCUCUCUCUCUCUCUCUCUCUCUCGCUCUGCUAGAAUUAACAGGGAACUUCAACUCCACGCUCCCAAUGCUGAUAUUGAAGAAGCUGUCAAGGGGGCUGAACAAGUCCUUCAAAGGAUCAACCCUUCACAGGAAGGCCUGUCAUGAGAUUUGAAUUUGACCAUCUUGUGCAUUUAUGAAGAAGACCAAAAGCUGCAAAGGCAAACACUUCCAAUGAAACUGAGAGUUUGCAUGAUGGCAUUUUCUCAGACGCUGAAUCUGAUGUGUACAGAUGAACUCAGGAGCCUACUAGAGUUGCCAAGGAACUUGUGAUUGAACUGAAGACCAGAAACGCAAAGAAAAUCAGUCAAACCAGUCCUAAAGAAAUGAGGAAUGAACAUGGACUUCUUGUGCCCCAAAAGAAAAGACAGAAAGCUCCUAAAAUGAGCAAAUAAGCUGUGCAUCAUCUCUGUGAUUUGGGAAGGAAAUGACUGAAUAUGAUGAAGCCAAUUGAUGAAGAUAUCAAUUGAAUGGCCACCGAGUGCAUCACUGCUACCUGAACCCAUCAGUUAUCUUCUGUGAAGACUGCAUUCACAAACCGCUCUACUGCGACAGCUCAGAUGUUACGGCCUGUAAAAGUAAACAUCACAGCUAAACAACGAGAGCUAGUUGUGGUGGGAUUCUUUUGGCCAAUAUCCCCAACAAGAAUCAAUGACAUCUAGACCAGGUGGAGUGUGAGGAGGACCGUCAGAGACUCCAGCCAGCCGAGCCAUGGAUUGCUCUCACUGUUACCAUCAGGCAUGCGUUAUCACAGAACCUACACCAGCAGACAGUGAGACAAGUUCCUUUCACAGGCAAUCAGACUGAACUGAACUCAUACCAGUAAAACCAUACACACCCCACCAACCUCAUAUGCCCUGCACUCUUAUCAGUUAUGCUGACUGGACUCAAUAUUAUUAUGCACCCUGACAUUCUGUUUGCACUAAUUCAUACCGUGCUUUACUGCAGAGAUGUAUGUGUACUGUGAUUAUUAUUGUUUUCAAUUCAUGCUCUUUGUAUAGCAUAAUUUUUAACAUAUAUUGUUCUCUACCUGAAUUGAGUCCCUUAUAUAUGUGUGUUGCAUAUAUAUAUAUUCAGAAUUUGUAUUUCAUAUAUAUUCAUGAAUUAAUUCAUUUGUCAUCCAUACUGUCACGCUGCAGUCUGCACCCAAGACUUUCAUCACCUGUAUACUUGUGUUCAUUGUAUUGUGACAAUAAAGAUAUUUGAUUUAAA